UGCAGGAUUAGAGCCGAAAAAUGUUUAUUUAAAUACUGGAAAUAAGGUUUCUCUUGCAGCAUACCAUAUUUGCCAUUUUCAGGAGACAGUAUUAAAUUAGAACAUAGCUGAAAAUGCAGCAAAGCAAAAGCAUACUUAAAAAUAA